AACUUUAGCUUUUGAAAAAGUAAAGGUAUAAUAAUUUCCAUAUGAAACAAAAUAAUAAUAAUGAAAGUAAUGUUACGGGUUCCCAUAUCCUGGAUAUGACUAGAGAUGCUUAGAAAGUCACCAAGGAAAUAGGAAGUCGCCGGCUAUCUUGAAAAAAAGAAGAGGAUAGCAUCAUCAUCAUCAUCAUCUCCCUGUUCUCUAAGAGAGCUUCAAGAGAAGAGAUUCUUCAAUGCCUUCUUUUACAGAGUUAGCUGGCAGAGGAAACUUAUUCCACCAUUUGCAGAGGAUCCUGUGUGUUAACGAAGGUGUUGUGAGGGAUACCUCUUGAACUAUCAAUCUCCCUAUUAGGAGCUGGGAAUCCCAUUUUAGGAUCAAG
rnacentral:lncRNA from 1 species